GGUAGUCCACGCCGUAAACGAUGUCGACUUGGAGGUUGUGCCCUUGAGGCGUGGCUUCCGGAGCUAACGCGUUAAGUCGACCGCCUGGGGAGUACGGCCGCAAGGUUAAAACUCAAAUGAAUUGACAGGGGCCCGCACAAGCGGUGGAGCAUGUGGUUUAAUUCGAUGCAACGCGAAGAACCUUACCUACUCUUGACAUCCAGAGAACUUAGCAGAGAUGCUUUGGUGCCUUCGGGAACUCUGAGACAGGUGCUGCAUGGCUGUCGUCAGCUCGUGUUGUGAAAUGUUGGGUUAAGUCCCGCAACGAGCGCAACCCUUAUCCUUUGUUGCCAGCGGUUAGGCCGGGAACUCAAAGGAGACUGCCAGUGAUAAACUGGAGGAAGGUGGGGAUGACGUCAAGUCAUCAUGGCCCUUACGAGUAGGGCUACACACGUGCUACAAUGGCGCAUACAAAGAGAAGCGACCUCGCGAGAGCAAGCGGACCUCAUAAAGUGCGUCGUAGUCCGGAUUGGAGUCUGCAACUCGACUCCAUGAAGUCGGAAUCGCUAGUAAUCGUAGAUCAGAAUGCUACGGUGAAUACGUUCCCGGGCCUUGUACACACCGCCCGUCACACCAUGGGAGUGGGUUGCAAAAGAAGUAGGUAGCUUAACCUUCGGGAGGGCGCUUACCACUUUGUGAUUCAUGACUGGGGUGAAGUCGUAACAAGGUAACCGUAGGGGAACCUGC
rnacentral:rRNA from 1 species